AUGUCCUUGGCCUCUAUAGAUUUGGUGUGGUGAGCAGGGUAAACCAAAGCUGCUCUGUCCUUCCAGAAGUCACAGGCAAGAGGACUCAGGAGCUGACAAGCCAGCAAAAAUGGGUUAUAUCUCAAUACAAAACAAUUUGGAAAAAAUAUGAAUGAGAUACUAUUUUGCACCAAGCA